rnacentral:rRNA from 1 species
AACGAACGCUGGCGGCAGGCUUAACACAUGCAAGUCGCACGGUGUCAUUUUGGUAGCAAUACUUGAAUGGCAUAGUGGCGCACGGGUGAGUAACACGUGAAUUACAUGCCCUGUAGAGGGGGAUAGCCCAGGGAAACUUGGAUUAAUACCCCAUGGUCUCGCAAGAGUAAAGGUGGCCGCAAGGCUGUCGCUACAGGAUUGGUUCGCGCCCUAUCAGCUUGUUGGCGGGGUAACGGCCCACCAAGGCUACGACGGGUACCUGGUCUGAGAGGACGAUCAGGCACACUGGAACUGAGACACAGUCCAGACACCUACGGGUGGCAGCAGUCGAGAAUAAUUCACAAUGGGGGCAACCCUGAUGGUGCAACGCCGCGUGGAGGAUGACGGUCUUCGGAUUGUAAACUCCUGUCAUCCGGGAGUAAGACCUGGGAGUUAAUAGCUCACAGGGUUGAUAGUACCGGAAGAGGAAGGGACGGCUAACUUCGUGCCAGCAGCCGCGGUAACAC